UAUCGAUGAAGAACGCAGCGAAAUGCGAUAAGUAAUGUGAAUUGCAGAAUUCAGUGAAUCAUCGAAUCUUUGAACGCACAUUGCGCCCGCUGGAAUUCCAGCGGGCAUGCCUGUUCGAGCGUCAUUUCAACCCUCAAGCCUGGCUUGGUGUUGGGGCACUACCUGUAAAACGGUAGGCCCUGAAAUUUAGUGGCGGGCUCGCUAAGACUCUGAGCGUAGUAGUUUACCACCUCGCUUUGGAAGAAUUAGCGGUGCUCUUGCCGUAAAACCCCCAAUUUCUGAAAAUUUGACCUCGGAUCAGGUAGGAAUACCCGCUGAACUUAAGCAUAUCAAUAAGCGGAGGAAAAGAAACCAACAGGGAUUGCCCUAGUAACGGCGAGUGAAGCGGCAACAGCUCAAAUUUGAAAUCUGGCUUCGGCCCGAGUUGUAAUUUGCAGAGGAUGUUUCUGGCGCGGUGCCUUCCGAGUUCCCUGGAACGGGACGCCACAGAGGGUGAGAGCCCCGUAUGGUUGGACACUAAGCCUGUGUGAAACUCCUUCGACGAGUCGAGUAGUUUGGGAAUGCUGCUCAAAAUGGGAGGUAAAUCUCUUCUAAAGCUAAAUACUGGCCAGAGACCGAUAGCGCACAAGUAGAGUGAUCGAAAGAUGAAAAGCACCUUGAAAAGGGGGUUAAACAGUACGUGAAAUUGUUGAAAGGGAAGCGCUUGUGACCAGACUUGUGCCGGGCGGUUCAUCCGGGGUUCUCCCCGGUGCACUCCGCCCGGUUCAGGCCAGCAUCGGUUUUUGCUGGGGGAUAAGAACGGUAGGAACGUGGCCCUCCCUCGGGAGGGUGUUAUAGCCUGCCGUACGAUACCCUGGCGGGGACCGAGGUUCGCGCUCCGCAAGGAUGCUGGCGUAAUGGUCAUCAGCGACCCGUCUUGAAACACGGA
rnacentral:rRNA from 1 species